GACUGCUCCAGUGGCUUGAGUUGUAAGAGCGUCUGCCUCGGAUGCGGAAGGUCGCGGGUUCGAACGCCGGCCGAGUCA